UGGGGAAUAUUUCACAAUUGGCGCAAGCCUGAUGCAGCCAUGCCGCGUGUAUGAAGAAGGCCUUCGGGUUGUAAAGUACUUUCAGCGGGGAGGGAGGGAGUAAAGUUAAUACCUUUGCUCAUUGACGUUACCCGCAGAAGAAGCACCGGCUAACUCCGUGCCAGCAGCCGCGGUAAUACGGAGGGUGCAAGCGUUAAUCGGAAUUACUGGGCGUAAAGCGCACGCAGGCGGUCUGUCAAGUCGGAUGUGAAAUCCCCGGGCUUAACCUGGGAACUGCAUUCGAAACUGGCAGGCUAGAGUCUUGUAGAGGGGGGUAGAAUUCCAGGUGUAGCGGUGAAAUGCGUAGAGAUCUGGAGGAAUACCGGUGGCGAAGGCGGCCCCCUGGACAAAGACUGACGCUCAGGUGCGAAAGCGUGGGGAGCAAACAGG
rnacentral:rRNA from 1 species